GGCGUAAGCGCGCGCAGGUGGUUUCUUAAGUCUGAUGUGAAAGCCCACGGCUCAUCCGUGGAGGGUCAUUGGAAACUGGGAGACUUGAGUGCACGAAGAGGAAAGUGGAAUUCCAUGUGUAGCGGUGAAAUGCGUAGAGAUAUGGAGGAACACCAGUGGCGAAGGCGACUUUCUGGUCUGUAACUGACACUGAGGCGCGAAAGCGUGGGGAGCAAACAGGAUUAGAUACCCUGGUAGUCCACGCCGUAAACGAUGAGUGCUAAGUGUUAGAGGGUUUCCGCCCUUUAGUGCUGAAUUUAACGCAUUAAUCACUCCGCCUGGGGAGUACGGCCGCAAGGCUGAAACUCAAAGGAUUUGACGGGGGCCCGCACAAGCGGUGGAGCAUGUGUUUUAUUUCAAAUCACCGCAAAAAACCUUACCCGGUCUUGACUUCCUCUGACGGGCCUAGAGAUAGGGCUUCUCCUUCGGGAGCAGAGUGACAGGUGGUGCAUGGUU
rnacentral:rRNA from 1 species